rnacentral:tRNA from 1 species
GCCCCGGUAGCUCAGCUGGAUAGAGCACCGGAUUUCUAAUCCGGGGGUCACAGGUUCGAGUCCUGUCCGGGGUACUA